UUUAAAAUGUGAUUUUAACCUAACCUUAACCACACUGCCAACCUCAUGCACAAGACGAACCUUAAAAUAAGACCAAAAAGCACUUACUUUCAUAAAUGUUUACGAUAUAGACCAUUUUUACUUUGUGGCUGGGCUAUCUAGUGGAAACCAUGCGGAAGCAAUCCCGGAAAAACGAUUACAAGUAACGUGAUUUACUGGACGACUGCUGUUAUGUAGAUAUUCAUAAAUGUACUAGAUACGCUUGAUAGUACGAAAACCAUUGUAUCUACUAGUUCCUUUUCUCUAGGAGCCUAUUGACGCAGUACUGAAAAAUGUUUUUUUAAUAAUAAAUGCUACGUUCAAGUGCCAGUCGGAAGUAGGAAACUUAAAAAUGCCCGACUGGUGAACGCGGUACGUGUGUAACUUCAAACAGUUAACAAGUCUGAAAUAUCCGAAUUUCCAAGUUCCGACUGGUACAUCAAUGCGGCAUAACCCUGCUACCAUAACUCGAUUUCUUUCACGUCAUCAGUCCCGAACACACCGACUGCGUCAUUGCUGCAUAACAUUUUGCACAGCUAGGCGACUAUACUGAUGCAGGUAUCUUUUGCAGACGGUUGGACACAUGGAGGAGAGAAUCAUAAGAAGACUGUAGGAGGAAGUGGAGAGGACUCAGGGACAGGCAUCAGAGAGAGAAGGGCAGAGAAAGAGAAGAAGAGGUCUGGGUCAGCAGCUUCAGGCCAGCAGCCUUGGCGCUUCUGACACAUUCUUUCUUUUCUGGAUCCAUUUAUUGUGCCUCGGGCAACGAGUGGCAAUCUUACAGCCAGACCCUUUACGUCAUCCACAAGUGUGGGCGCCACGGGUGCAUCAAAGCCCUCAAUGUCAUUUACAAGUGAGACCACCCUCCUCCACCGGUGCAGCGAGACCCUCUACAACGUCUACAUCAUCGUUCAUCUCUGCUGUGUGACCACCACCGGUGCAGCGAGACCCUCUACAACGUCUACAUCAUCGUUCAUCUCUGCUGUGUGACCACCACCGGUGCAGCGAGACCCUCUACAACGUCUACAUCAUCGUUCAUCUCUGCUGUGUGACCACCACCGGUGCAGCGAGACCCUCUACAACGGAAGAUGAUGAAAUGGAGGAAGCACCUCUGGAUCUGAGAUUGUGACCCUCAAGGAAUCAAGGAAAUGCAACUGAGAUUUUCCAACUGUCCUUAUUCCGCUUACUAUGUCCUUGUUAGUAGUUUCUCAAUACAUAGGAUAGCAUUCAUUGUUAGUUGUACAUAGAUUGCAUGAAAAUUGACUGAAUUGACACUGACACACCGGAGAUUUUUUUUUUACAAGACUAAAGGUGAAAUGUGUGUUUACCUGUAUUGUGGCUACACAUUCACUCUUAGUUUUUUUUAGACUCGCACACACCUCUCCUCCACUCCUCUCUGUACCUCAGAUCUCCAGUGCCCUGGCUUUCAUGUCUUUAAGGCCAUGUUGGAAGUUCCCCUACUACGUCUAGGCUUUAUGAGUAGUCCCUGUAUUUGUUUUCAGUUGUGCCAAAAAUACAUGCUCCUGUUGUUCUUACAGAUUACAGGUUACACAUUCAUUUGAGUAUUUUUACACACACUUUCAAUAGUUUUUAUUUUUUUUACAACACACAUACCUGUCAUGUUCUUUCCUGUACUUGAAUACUUAUUAAUUCUAAUGUUUUCAUAGUCAGUUUCAUGUGUUUAUUCAUAUCUAAUUUAGACUUAAUCUGUUUAUUUCUUCCCUACAUCUUUGCAGAUCUAAGACUAGAUGAAAGUAAAAACAUUCUCUU